GAAUUCGAUUCAGGCCUAACACAUGCAAGUCGAACGAUGAAGCUGGAGCUUGCUCCGGUGGAUUAGUGGCGAACGGGUGAGUAACACGUGAGAAAUCUGCCCUUGACUCUGGGAUAACUGCGGGAAACUGUAGCUAAUACCGGAUACUUUCCUUGGUGGGCAUCCACUGGGGAAGAAAGAAUUUCGGUCAAGGAUGAUCUCGCGGCCUAUCAGCUAGUUGGUGAGGUAAUGGCUCACCAAGGCGACGACGGGUAGCCGGCCUGAGAGGGUGACCGGCCACACUGGGACUGAGACACGGCCCAGACUCCUACGGGAGGCAGCAGUGGGGAAUAUUGCACAAUGGGCGCAAGCCUGAUGCAGCAACGCCGCGUGAGGGAUGAAGACGUUCGGGUUGUAAACCUCUUUAGCAGGGAAGAAGCGAAA
rnacentral:rRNA from 1 species